rnacentral:rRNA from 1 species
ACGGAGGGUGCGAGCGUUGUCCGGAAUCAUUGGGCGUAAAGCGCACGUAGGCGGUCUUUUAAGUCUCAAGGUGAAAGGCUGGGGCUCAACCCCAUGCAUGCCGGGGAUACUGGGAGGCUGGAGACAGGCAGAGGCCAGCGGAAUUCCGGGUGUAGCGGUGGAAUGCGUAGAGAUCCGGAAGAACACCGGAGGCGAAGGCGGCUGGCUGGGCCUGAUCUGACGCUGAGGUGCGAAAGCGUGGGGAGCGAACAGGA